CCAACCCAUUCUCACUCCAAAGGCGUCAAAAACCGAAGCAUGGUCAAGCGCCCCUAGCGUCACUUUUAUGACGCCAAAUGUGCCUCUCGGCGUCGACUAUCGAAGCACUACGACCUUCAUUGCUUUCAGUGGGAAACUUUUGGCGUCAGAAUUCGACACGAGGACAUGAGAUGUUUAUCGCUAUGAAAUCACGUUCAAGAAGUCUCAUUCAGCACACAUCGCGCGAUACUUGCUAUCAGUUCCACAGUUUGGCUGAAAAGACGUAAAGGCAGUCAGCCCAGUGGUGUUUCUGGAGAGGGAUUCCUUCAGAAAUGGAGAAGACAGAAAGCUGCGGAGGCAGAUAUUUGCAGCAUGUUCGAGUGAGCAUGAUGACCACGAGUGUGUGUCGAACUUUUCAUGACCUGAUGACUGUGUUUCCCAAUCCUGAUCCUGGAGAACCCCAGCACUGCACGGUUUUGGCGUCUCUCUUAUCUGCCUUGGAGUCUUCACUGAUGAGCUGAUGAGUUGAAUCAGGUCUAAAAUAUCGAGCUCAACAGCUAUUUUAAGAGCCAACCCUCACAAACCUUCCUAAAACCUAAAAGAGCUAUUACUGAGUCUCAGCGAAUCUUGCCAUGAUCAGCUCUUCCCAGAAGAGAAGGAAGACCAAGGAAAUGAUUUGCUCAGGAUGAGAAAUGAAGAUGGCCAUCUUGAGCUCAAACAAACAGAAGUCCUCUGAUGAUCUCAUCAGCCAAAUGAGGGGUUUUGACCAAGUGAUGCUCUUGAAAGGAGUGAAAGAAGAGGAUGUGGUAAAUUGUCUUCAGAGAAAAGCUUCUCAAAAGGUCUUAAAACAGCUUGAAGAAUGAUCUGGGAUGUUAGGACUGAGAGAUCCUCUGGCUGAGAAAAGGCUACACCACAUCAGUGCUGGAUAUCAACCACAAACUGUUUCCAGACACGAGAGAAGAAGAACACGAUGGGGAGAUGAAACCAGUUUAGAUGUGAUGAUGGGAAUCAUUAUUUUCUGGAACAGUAUCACAUGUCUUAUAUGUAUCACAUGAUCUGUAUCACAGUUGACUGGAUGGGACUGUGUGACUUUUAAGGACAUUUCAUCACUCAUCUGUGUGAACUGAUUUAUAUAUGAGGUUAAUGUAUCUUUGAUGAUAAUUAUUUUCAUUGAAUCUUAUUUGUCUUGAUGCUACUUUAUCAACUUUAUAGUCUAUGCUUCAAUAAAAUGAAAAUGGUGAA